CCGGGGCUAAUACCGGAUAAUAUUUUGAACUGCAUAGUUCGAAAUUGAAAGGCGGCUUCGGCUGUCACUUAUGGAUGGACCCGCGUCGCAUUAGCUAGUUGGUGAGGUAACGGCUCACCAAGGCAACGAUGCGUAGCCGACCUGAGAGGGUGAUCGGCCACACUGGGACUGAGACACGGCCCAGACUCCUACGGGAGGCAGCAGUUGGGAAUCUUCCGCAAUGGACGAAAGUCUGACGGAGCAACGCGGCGUGAGUGAUGAAGGCUUUCGGGUCGUAAAACUCUGUUGUUAGGGAAGAACAAGUGCUAGUUGAAUAAGCUGGCACCUUGACGGUACCUAAUCUGAAAGCCACGGCUAACUACGUGCCACCAGCCGCGGUAAUACGUAGGUGGCAAGCGUUAUCCGGAAUUAUUGGGCGUAGAGCGCGCGCAGGUGGUUUCUUAAGUCUGAUGUGAAAGCCCACGGCUCACCCGUGCAGAGUCAUUGAAAACUGGGAGACUUGAGUGCAGAAGAGGAAAGUGGAAUUCCAUGUGUAGCGGUGAAAUGCGUAGAGAUAUGGAGGAACACCAGUGGCGAAGGCGACUUUCUCGUUUGUAACUGACACUGAGGCGCGAAAGCGUGAGGAGCAAACAGGAUUAGAGUCCCUGCUAAUCCACGCCGUAAACGAUGAGUGCUAAGGGAUUCAAGGGUUUUCCUCCCCUUUAGUGCUGAAGUUAACGUAUCUAAGGACCUCCGCCUGGGUGAGUCCGGGCGGCUAUGCCUGAAACACAAAGGAAUUCGACGGGGGCCCGCAUAAGCCCCGGAGACAUGUGAUAACGUUGAACCCACCGCGAAUAACUAGCCAGCUCGUGACAAUCUCGCAAACCCUUUGAAGAUAAGCUUCUUCUUACGGGCAGAU
rnacentral:rRNA from 1 species